ACCAUAGCCAGUAUCUUAUUAUAACCUAUGAUGGAAUGGAAAAGAAUGACAAAGAAUGUUAUGUAUGUACAACUGAAUCACUUUACCAUACACCAGCAACGAACACUGUAAAUCAACUAUACUUCAAUUUUAAGACAAAAAUAAUUUCUUUAAUGUAAAAACUUUUCCUGUUCCCUCUCUUAAUGUUCCUUUUCAGGCAGUUUAGUAUUAUUUCAUUCUGCUUUAAAAUGUUACUUGCAAGUUAAAGGAUUUUGGGUAAAGAACAUUGCACUCUACUGAAAAACAAAGAACUUUAAGCCAUUAAACAAAGUCUGCUUCUAAAUAGUUUUGUUUUGUUUUUUUUUUUUAAACAGCAGCGGCGGGUGAGCAAGGUUUUUCAAGGCUUCAGAGCGUGAGCGCUGAGGGAGGAGGGGGCGGCACUGCAAGCCCUAUAAACCCCGUACAGAAAGUAGGCUGAGAACUACAAUGAAGUCUUAGCUCUGGGCCUGACUGGGAGUUUCCCAACCCAAUUUACAAAAUAACCGUUCGCUAGGACCGGCGCCUGGCAGGACGUCAGUCAUUAUAUAAUUUCCAGUUUUUUUUUAAUCCUGCGAAGACACCAACUGCAAUGAAUUUGCUGCCGGCGACUGUGCCUGAAGUGGACACAGCACCACCCGGUUCUUUCAGGAGCGGCUGCACCUGCUGCUUCAGGGCCGUGCCCACCUCGGGGCGCAUCGGUGGGGGGGUGGGUGUUAAAACACAAGGGCCCCGACCCUGUGUCCCCACCUCCGCCUCUGACAGUACCCCCAGGUAUCCAGGCGCUGCGGGCCCCGAGGACUCCCAGCUCCCGCCCCAUCUGUGCCCCGCCCGCCGCGGGCAGAUUUGGAGCGGGAACGUGGCGCCGGCCUCGGAGGCCUAAGGUCCACCUGGACGCCUGUAAGGCGUGGCUGGGGCCCACGUGGUGGACGCUGCAGGAGCGGAGCCGGCGUGAAAGCUCUAGGGACGGUUCCCUCCCACCCCCGGGCGGCCUCAGACGCCCAGGCGCGCGUGCCAAUGUCCGGGGUUGGCCGAGUUGCCAGGGGAAGCGGGGGGUCGGCACGGACUCAAAGGGCGACCCCCGGAGGUGACCCGCCCCGCCAACUUUAUUCAGCCCUUCACCCACCAAGGAGCCCCCGGGUAGAUGCCGAGCGGGUCCCGCAGCCUCAGGGACGUGGGCCCGGCCCCGCAGCCGGGCGGGGACCCGGCGCGCCGGAACGGACGGAGCGGUCAUCUAGGGCCUCGUCGCCCCCUACUCCACACAGCGACCCGCCCUCAUCCCGGUGACCCCGGCUCAAGGAGCCGAAGGCUGCGGGUCGGGCUGGGUGGGCGGACCCGGAGAAAACCCGCAGGUCCCGGCGGGCGACGGGGCGGGGCCGAAGGCGGAGAGAAGCCGCUACUGGCCCGGAAGCCAAGCGCCGGAAGUGACGCGUCUGAAGUCCGCCGCGGCUCCUAGCCGUCCCGCGUGACCCAUCCCCCGGGAGUUGUUCCGCAGUGUCCUGAGGGUCUGGGCUUCUCAGCUGCCGCUUGGGUGCUGGGAGCGGGGACGCUCUGCUGGGCGAUUCCCGCCGUGGUCGUCCCCUUGGGACCCCCCUGGGCCGUACCACAUCAGCCCACGUGGGGAUAGUGCUGUUGAGCAAUGGCGACCCCCGUGGUCAUCCCCUUGGCACCCUUCGGGCCGUACCUCAUCAGCCCAGGCGAGGGUGGUGCAGCUGGGCGAUGGCGGCCCCCGCGGCCUUGGUCCCCUCUGCGUUGUAGCACCUCGGCCCAGGCUGGUGUGGUGCUGCUGGGUGAUGGCGCCCCCUCGCGGUUGUUCUUUUGGCACGUCCCGGGCCGUACCAUCUCGGCCAGCGGGGCAGGUGCUUCUGGAUAACGGCACCCUCUCACGGUCGUCCCCUUGGUAUCCUCCGGGCCGUACCAAUUCAGCCCAGUCAGGGGUGAUGCUUCUGGGAACCGCCCUCCCCUUGAUAACUUCCAGGCCGUACCACCGCGACCCAGGGAGCGGCAAGUUCGUGGAGGAGCCGACCUAUAAGCUGGCUCUGAGUUUUGGUUUCAAGAGACAGAAAUUUCAGGCUCAAGGAGCCUCCCGUAGAAGAGGAAAGACAAAGGGACUGUCCUAGCUGAGGAAGCCAGCAACGGAGGUGCUCUAGGGGCAGCUAGAAUCCAAGGCCACGCCCCUCACGAGGACGCUGGUUGGCUGAGUUUGGGGAGUUCCACCAGGGGGCGUGGCCUUGGCCCAAGUCUCUGAGGGGCUUCAGUG
ensembl:lncRNA